UCAGUUACUUAACAUUUCAGUGACCAGCAGCACAGACGCUGAAGUCCAAAUGUGAUUAGGUGGAAUAUGGACGAUUGCUCCACGCUGCAGGUGUUUCACAGCAGAGCAGCCUUUUCCAAGAGAUACAGAGAUGCACAAGACUCACUUUUUUCUUGCAUUUUUUUCCCUGCAAGUAAAGAAGGGAGAAUGCCCUAGAGUCCAGAUCUAAAUUCCAUUUCUACUUUUUAAAAUCAAUAUUGUGAAACCAACUGAUGCUAGCCCAACCUGCUUUUGAGAGUUCACUCAUCUUUACUUAACGAGAUAAAGUUAAGAAAUCAGUACCAAACAGACACGCUGCUUCAAAAUUUGAAUGUAAACGCCAAAAGAAGUUCCUCGGUGGAGAUCUAACCUAGCAGAAGCUCAGCGAUGGAUCCCCAUAGCCCUCCGUCUCACUGGUGAGAACUGACCACCGCCGUGGCUGUAGGUAUCAUCACCCGUGCUCACAAAGGCAGAGCUACCUUUUGCUGAGAGACAUGGAAACGCACUGGGAUUCAGCUGGCCCCGGUCUGCAUCCCCUGAGCUGUCAGGUCCCUUGUGUCCAUAAAUAAACCUGACACUGGAUCAUGAUGUACCUUCCCUUGUACUGUUAGCCCACCAUUAGGUGGGCAAAGCUCUGUGGGUGGAACUUCGAGAGUCCCUCCACCCCUACGGCACCUCUGCCCCAGGCUGGGAUUUCUCACUCCGCUGUGCCGUGGCAACUGCCUUCCGCCCUGACAGGCCUGUGUGGGCACACUAAGCCAUUGAAAGGAUUUGAGUGCCAAUUCCAAUGUGUGGCUAUGUUGGAGGGGGGUGCUCCCCACCUAUCCAGGCAAUUUCCCAUCAUCAGCUGGGUAACCAACAAUUCAACUCAAUUCUGACACUAUCUACCUGGAGACAGCAUCAGAUUCCACAGGUUAAGGGUUCAGUCCCACAAGUGUGCCUGCUCCCUCAACCUGAGACACCAGCGGCAAACCCAGACUGCCCCCUGUGCUUGUGACUGACCGGUGACAGACUGCCAGUUCCCAUGCCCUUCUUUCUUGGAUUUAAUUAAUUUGCUAGAGCAGCUCACAAAACUCAGAGAAGCAUCUUACUCACUGAUUACCAAUUUAUUGGAACAGAGACAGCCAGAUGGAACAGAUGCAGAGGGCAAGGGGUGGGGAAAGGGCAGGCAGCUUCUGUGCCCGGCACUCUCCCCCCCGUAUUUCCACGGGUUUACCAGCCGGGAAGCUCUCCAAACCUCACCCUUUCGGGUUUUUAAUGAAGGCUCCAUUACACAGGCACGAUUGAUUAAAUCACUGGCCACCAGUGACUGAACACAGUCUUUAGCCCCUCUGCCCUCCCAGGAAGCCAGGGGGUGGGACUGAAAGUUCCAACCCUCCAGUCACAAGGCUGGCUCUACUGGCAACCAGUCCCAUCCUUAAGUGCCUUCCAAAGGCAUUAACACAACAACCGAAUCCUCUGUGGCACUGGUCACUUAGGGAAGCCCACGGGUUUAAGAAGCACUGCGCCAGAAAAGAGGAUGAAGACCAAAUGUGUGUUCGUUAUCAAUCACAGGAUCACAGUCACCUGUCAUCCAAGGGCUUUCACAGUGAGACGGCUGGGCACAACAUGGAACAGACUGAGGACACCUGGGUUCUAACACCAUUGCAGCCACCAUCUCCUCCUUCAACAAGGAUUUACUGAACACGACAAAACGCUGCCUGCCCUCGGAGAACUCAGGGUCCAGCGCUGAUUCGCUGGGCAGAACUGACAAAGCCGUUCUGCCCCCUUCGGACACACACAUGCCCAGACUCCACCUUCACAUCCUUGAUCACGCCGUGCUCUCUCACCCCCUCAUCUCUGGGCAUGUUCCCUCUGUCUAGACAGACUGUUCUUUCCUUCCUCUCUGCAGUUAACUCACCACUCACCUGGUGCUCGCUGGUCUGGGUCACAGCUGCAUCUCCCGAGGUUCGUACAGCCCCUGACCCAAAAGAAGGGCUCCGUGAUGAGUGAAUUUACUGACAACUAGCUUCUGUGAGAGUAUGACAGUGAAAAGCAAAGCACCAACUUUGGAACCUUGCAGAUAUCCUAGCUGAAAGCUGAAAUCUGGCCCUUGCCAGCUCUGUGGUGUUGUAGGUAACUUACUGAAUCCCUCUGAGCCUGUUUCUGUAUCUGUAAGAGGGAGAAGAUCCUAUUGUACCAAUUCCUCCUGGUAAUGGCAUGAAGGACUGAAUGAGGCUCCACGUGCCAAGUACCUAAAACACCUCUGGGCACAUAAGAAUUCCUCAACCACCAGCCGCUCCCAUCACCAUCAUCUCCAUUAUUCUUGUAGCGAUGUCCCUUCCUGGACACAGCCCAUCGCCUCGCCUACGCUGGAAGCAGACCCUGCAGUUAUCUGUAAGGCAGGCAUUUGUAACAUCUGCUGUUGACACACACACCAGGCUUCACGACAGUGAUAACGAAGGGGAGGAAGAAGAUGAUGGUAGCAAUUACUUCCUCUGAUGUCAGUGACUUGUGAUUUUUUGACAGACUUCUGUUUUCCUAAAGCCCAUCAAGAAGGGGGAGAAGAAAAAGAUCAGCUCAAGCCUGCUCCUGAUCCCACAGGCUCCCCUAAUCACAAACCACCAAGACCUGUGAGUCCCUGUGCAACCAGCAGUCUCGCCCCCUCGCCCCUGGCAAUCCGCUGGCUGAGCGUCUGGAGAGCUGCUUCUGUGCAUCGGAUCAACUGACAAUUCAGACGUACAAUCUGUUUUUACCUAGAUCAAAGGCAAAAAGAGAAAUGUCUCAGCUACUAUUUAAAGUUCCCAGACUGGCACCAAAGGCUCUCUACAACGUAAUUCCAAAGGGAGUGGAUGGGCAGGGCGGGCCAUUACCUGCCUCUCAGCUGUGUGGGGCUGCCCGGGGCUCUGCUGGAACUGGGGCAGCUUCUGGAUUUGGGUUCCCAGAACGCAGGGGCACAUUCCCCACCCCAGGGACCGACCAUCCCCUCUGAGCUGGAUUAAAGUUAAAUGAAGGGAAAGGAGGACCAGAAGUUCUCUUUUGUGCUACCCUUGAGGCAAUACCUCCAUUUUAAUCAAGGGGAAACUGAGGCCCGGGGAGCAGGGAGCACUUGACCAGGAACACUGGGCAGGAGCAGAGCUGAGGUCAGCAUGGUGACUUGGGUGCGCACGAAAGCAAGCCACUACCUUACAACUGCUCAGAGACAGAGCUCACGUGCACUAACGUUCACGCACUUCAAGUGUGUGAUUCAGUGGUUUCAGUGCAGCCAGCACCGCAAUCUACUUUGUAAAAAUUACAGCAAAAAUGGAAUGAGUACCCAUUAGUACUCAUUCCCAGCCUACCCCUCUCCCCAACCUCCAGCCCAACUCCUACCCCUGACAACCACUAAUCCACACUGUCACUUCGUGUUGAUCUAGAUUUUCCUACUGUGGACAUUUCCUAUAAAUGGACUCAUACAAUACUUGGUCCUUCGUGACUAGGAAGCCGUUUCUUACUGGCAGACUUCAACGGUAGACCCCCUGGUUGCUCACUAAACUGUUACCCAGAGCUGCACUCUCAGGUGCUGGAGCCGCUACCCGUGGGUGGUCAUCUAAAUGAAGUAACACCGAAUAUAUUAAAGAUAAGUUCCUCAUCAUCAUCACCCACACGUCCAGGGCUUCCCAGCCACACAGAGCUCGUAGCCAUCAUAUUAGACAGCACACAUUGGAAUAUUACCAUUACUGCAGAAAGUUCCUAACUACAGACGGGCUCCCUGCUCCCCCUGGUGUUGGGAGGUUACCUUCACAGAGGAGGGUGGCAGCCAGGAACAGCUCCAGGGAGAGGUGCAGGAGGAAGAGAUGGAGGGAGAGAGUGCUGGGUCAGUUAGAGCCAACCCCUCCUUCUACCCGCACCCCCUAUCUCGGUGUGACCCUCAGUGCCAGGGAGCUCUCCCGUUCCCCCCACCACCCCAGACCUGAAAAGCUCUCUGUUUAGUUAAGCUCAUCCAAAAGGCAGAUAUGCCAAAGCCUUUGGAAGCACUUCAAGGCAUUCAGCCUCUACCUCAGCCUUUGAUGAUUUCUGAAGCGUUUCAUGCCAGAAGGUGAUCUGAGGGGCUCCGUAAUGAGACUGAACAGUCCCGUUCAGUUUCCGGCCAGCAGUGGCUACUUCAUCUGCCAAGACAUGACCACUAAGGCCCAUGACACCCCAAGGCCAGAGCCAUGGCAGCUAGGCAUGCUCAGGCACAGGCAGAGGGGAGCUCAGAAAUGGCCACACCCAGCCUCGCUUCUUGCGGUUGUUCACUAGUUCAGCUACAACGCCUUGCCUCUGUCUGUCCGGAGAUGCUUCAGUCACCAGCUCCCGCAAGCGGGGCAGCAGGUUAUUUCAAACUGUGGGUUUGGGUAGAUUAAGAUGACUACAGAGCCCAGACUAAAGGAUGAUGGACAGACAAAAGGAAAAAAUAGAAUUACAUCCAGAAAAAAAUCCUUUACUAAUCAAAGCAUCCUUUGUUCUAAAACACUGUGCAAAAAUCAUCAAUCAUGACCUUUUCAAGUUGUUUUAAAGGAGUAUCAAGUUGGCUAAUACUCUUUUGUUUAAAACUGUGCUGAAAGAUAUAACUGCUUUCUUCUACUUUAGUAGACAAUUUAUUUUUUAAAAGGCAACUUCCUUUUUUAAAAUGCUUCUUCCAAUAUGUUUGCCUGUCUAAAUCAAUACUUUUGUCUUGAAUUCCCCCUGCCUCAAUGAAUGGCACUGGGGGGAUUUCAAGAAUCAAUAGGUCACAUUUCUAAGAUGCCGAAGCACAGGAUAACCAGGCAGGUGGACAUUUACCUAGCUGUGGUGAGUGUUCACAUGCUAACACACUGAUCUUUUAGUGAAGGUCACUCUGCGUUUCUCAGUCCCCUGGUUUUCAAAAACAUCCUGCACCAGAGAUUACCCAGAAGACAUACAGUAAAGCAAGAGGAUGUGGUCACGUGGUUGCUUCAGACUGUAACCUGAAGCGACACACCGGGAGUGUGGCCGUGGCUCUUUGGGGGCUCCCAGUUCAGCUGCUGGGGUCACUCUGUUCCUUGCAGGGGUUUCUGACUUUGUACACUCGUGAGUCCGUGUGUUCCACAGCACUGCAUAUAGCAUUCAGGAUUUUUUUGAUACUCUCCAUCUCAUGCCAUUCUCACAACAACUUUAUGAGUUGGUGCUAUUCUCAUUUCUAUUUUACAGCCGAGGAACUGGAAGGUCAGAGAUGUUAAAUAAUCCAUCAACUUUACAUGGCCAUCAAGUGGAACUGCUGGGACCAGAUGCCCUAGGGUCCUGAACCCCAGUCUGGCAUUCAGACCAUUUUCAUCACGUGACAGCUGGUGCCAGUUGGUAUGAAAAAAAAAUGUAAGAAGUAGAGGAGCCCAGGUGUCUAAGGACCAAGGCUCCCAAAAGCCUGAGAACAGGCUACUUUCAGGCAGUUCCUACCCUGGCCAAAGGGGGCCUCAUAAAGCAAGCAGAGCUUGUGGCCCUCCAACGAAUGGACUCUAUCUGCUGGUCAGAGAGAACUUCUGUGGGACUGGCGUACCCAAGGGCGUUUCAGCACCCCUCCUCCUAGGAGCUCAGCAACUAGGGUCACAUACCCUGCAUACUUGUAGGAAAUUAUAAAUGUGUCUGAGUUGAUCUUUGCUGAGCUCAGAGUAGUCUCAUUCUCAUUGCAGUGAAAAUAACAGACUAUUAGCUUGAUGCAUGAAACCAAUACAUACUUAUUGGACUCAACUUAUAUAUUGUGGUGGACUGACUGCAAAACCAGCCCAAGUCUCCACCCCUCUCGGUAUCACACCUCCUGCAAUGGAGUGCUGCCCAGCCUCCUGCAUCUGGGCAGGCCACAUGACUUGCUUUGGCCAACAGAACAAAGUAGAAGAGAUCUGAAGCCCCUUUUCAGAGCUCAGGCCCCCAAGGGCCUUGCACACUCUAACCCUCUACCUUAGAGCUCAUCCGCCACUGGAGGAUGAAAGACCAGGCGGAAAAAGCUGGAUUAAUCUCAAUACCGACCGGCCAGCAUCCAGUCAACCACCCAACAACCUCAGACAGAUGAGUAAGCCCAACCAAGAUCACCCGAGCCUGGCACAUCUCAGCAGAGCUUCCCGUCAACCUGUAGUCUGGGGAGAAAUAACAGAUGGCUAUGAUCUGAAACCAUAAUUUUGAGGGCCUGGGGAGAUCGGACUCAACAAGUCAAAACCUGCUUCACCAAUCUUACCAAGGCUGGAGGGUCCAGAAGAAGGUCAGCUACCAUAAGUUUUACUAUUAUUUACUGUUUCCUAGGCAGUAACAGGUUGGAAGAUGCUUCAGCGAAAAUAAUCGCUAUUUCUGAUGAAAGGGUUUCAGACCGAAAUGGCUCAGAAUUUGACUAAAAGAG